ACGGGACUAACGCCGAUAUGCUUCGGGGAGCUGUAAGUAAGCUUUGAUCCGAAGAUUUCCGAAUGGGGAAACCCACCAUACGUAAUGGUAUGGUAUCCUUAUCUGAAUACAUAGGGUAAGGAAGACAGACCCAGGGAACUGAAACAUCUAAGUACCUGGAGGAAGAGAAAGCAAAUGCGAUUUCCUGAGUAGCGGCGAGCGAAACGGAACAUAGCCCAAACCAAGAGGCUUGCCUCUUGGGGUUGUAGGACAUUCUAUACGGAGUUACAAAGGAACGAGGUAGACGAAGCGACCUGGAAAGGUCCGUCGUAGAGGGUAACAACCCCGUAGUCGAAACUUCGUUCUCUCUUGAAUGUAUCCUGAGUACGGCGGAACACGUGAAAUUCCGUCGGAAUCUGGGAGGACCAUCUCCCAAGGCUAAAUACUCCCUAGUGAUCGAUAGUGAACCAGUACCGUGAGGGAAAGGUGAAA
rnacentral:rRNA from 1 species